ensembl:snRNA Rnu6-198 RNA, U6 small nuclear 198
AUGCUCACUUUGGCAGCACAUACACUGAAGUUGGAACGAUACAGAGAAGAUUAGCAUAGCUCCUGGGCAAAGAUGACAGGCAAACCGGUAAAGCGUUUCCCUACUUUU